rnacentral:lncRNA from 1 species
UUCAGUUAACAUCAGAGACAUAACUGAGAUUAGUGCAUGGUUAACAAGAAUAAAUAGCUGUCAGGAAACUGCCAGAUGGUGAAGCUUUCCUUUCGCCUCCCUCCUCCAUCUCCACCUUGCCCACCACCACCCACUUCAGUCUGUCAUUUCUGAGAGUAUGACAAAAACAACAGCUAAGGAUUACAGAAAUAGCUUCAACUAAAAUGGCCAGCAGAGGAGGAAUAAGGUGUACCCUAACAAGUGCAGAGAAAGGAGGCUCUCAGUUUCCUUCAGUCUCAGCUCACUGAUUGACUCACCAUCACAGCUCCUGCUGAGAAAAGCUGUGACAACUGAGAGGGCGGAGGAGAGAGAAGAAGUAGAGAGCAAAGGGGAGGGGAGAGAAGAAGAAGAGAAAUGAAGGAAAAGGAUGAGAGAGAAAGAGAAGGAAAGAGAGAAAAGUAAAGGAAGAAAGUGGUAGAGAGCAGAGAAGAGGAAAUGAG